GUGUGAGUUGAAUAAAAUUAACAUGCUAAUUUGAAGUGUUAUAACAAGAAAAAAGUGUAUAUUCUUGUUUACCUAUUCAUUCACAAGUUAUUAAGUUAUUCAUUAAUUCACAAUUAUAAUGACAUCAAUAAUAAUGGUGAUGACAACUAUAUUAAUAAUAAUAAUAAUAAUAAUAAUAAUAAUAAUAAUGGUUCAAAGGAAGACAGGUUGAUUAUACACCAGCCAGGAAUCGAACCACAGCCGUCCCCGGAGCACGCUGCGACCAAGGCCGAAAGAUUAAAGGAGGUCUUCCCACCAGCCUACCCUUGGGAAAUCUGAUCACGUGUACAGUUUUGAGCGGGGUGCUGCUGACGUCAGAGGGAAGUUCUAGUCUCUGUCACAUGUCAGCUGGCGGGACAUCUACCCUCGACCCCUCGCGCCCUCUUCCCUGUGAGCCUCAAUCAGUCGGGUGAAGGCCUGGGAGCGGUCUUUCCUUGUGUGGAUGAGAGCAGUCAUGUGUUCAAAGGGACGUCGCUGUUGGUGGUGCUGUUGUCUCUGCUGCUGCUGCUGGUCGCCAUCAUAGCCACUGUCCAACUCCCCAUUGCUGCCAAUGGAACACUUCCACCGCCACGCCGCUGCUGCAAUCUUACUACUCUUCAGAUCUAACUGUGGGAUCUGCCUUGGUGUCCUGGUCAACUUGGGAGACACACACCACCAGUCCGUGCAGAGGCUUACACUUGUACGGGAGAAACAACUCAUCUGUGGCAGACACGUGCUCGCCUGCCUCCUCCUUCACAACCGCCUCCCACACACUCAUCACCCAUCCCUCUGUCAUAAUGGGAAUCUGCUGCUCCACUGCCACCUAGGGAAUGAAGAAGGAUUAGUUGUUAAAGCCACAGGCACUGCAGAAUAAAGAACACACCAAUGCAGAUCACCGGGGGAGCCGUGGAGGUUCUGGGUCACCUGUUCAAAGGGAAAACACAGCAGGGACGAGAGACAGACAUCACCACUCCACUGUUUGUCCUCCCGCUCUCC